GACGAACGCUGGCGGCGUGCCUAAUACAUGCAAGUCGAGCGGACGAAUCGAAAGCUUGCUUUUGAUUCGUUAGCGGCGGACGGGUGAGUAACACGUGAGCAACCUGCCCUGUAGACGGGGAUAACACCGAGAAAUCGGUGCUAAUACCGGAUAACACGAAAUGUCGCAUGACGUUUCGUUGAAAGACGGCGCAAGUUGUCGCUACAGGAUGGGCCCGCGGCGCAUUAGCUAGUUGGUGAGGUAACGGCUCACCAAGGCGACGAUGCGUAGCCGACCUGAGAGGGUGAUCGGCCACACUGGGACUGAGACACGGCCCAGACUCCUACGGGAGGCAGCAGUAGGGAAUCUUCCGCAAUGGACGAAAGUCUGACGGAGCAACGCCGCGUGAGUGAAGAAGGUUUUCGGAUCGUAAAACUCUGUUGUUAAAGAAGAACAAGGAUGAGAGUAACUGCUCAUCCCCUGACGGUAUUUAACCAGAAAGCCACGGCUAACUACGUGCCAGCAGCCGCGGUAAUACGUAGGUGGCAAGCGUUGUCCGGAUUUAUUGGGCGUAAAGCGAGCGCAGGCGGUUCUUUAAGUCUGAUGUGAAAGCCCCCGGCUCAACCGGGGAGGGUCAUUGGAAACUGGAGAACUUGAGUGCAGAAGAGGAGAGUGGAAUUCCACGUGUAGCGGUGAAAUGCGUAGAUAUGUGGAGGAACACCAGUGGCGAAGGCGACUCUCUGGUCUGUAACUGACGCUGAGGCUCGAAAGCGUGGGGAGCAAACAGG
rnacentral:rRNA from 1 species